UGGGGAAUAUUGCGCAAUGGGGGGAACCCUGACGCAGCAAUACCGCGUGAGUGAAGAAGGUUUUCGGAUCGUAAAGCUCUGUUCUUGGGGAAGAAGAAAGACGGUACCCAAGGAGGAAGUCCCGGCUAACUACGUGCCAGCAGCCGCGGUAAUACGUAGGGGACAAGCGUUGUCCGGAAUUACUGGGCGUAAAGGGCACGCAGGCGGUUAUUUAAGUCAGAUGUGAAAGGCACCAGCUCAACUGGUGACAUGCAUUUGAAACUGGGUAACUUGAGUAUUGGAGAGGCAAGUGGAAUUCCUAGUGUAGCGGUGAAAUGCGUAGAUAUUAGGAGGAACACCGGUGGCGAAGGCGGCUUGCUGGACAAAUACUGACGCUGAGGUGCGAAAGCGUGGGGAGCAAACA
rnacentral:rRNA from 1 species